GCAAUAAUUAAUUUCAAUAGAGAGAUUUGACCAAAAGUUUCUUAAUUAAUGAAUCAAGUUGUCAUUUUAACUGAAUUUGGAACUAUAUAUAUAUUGAUCUUUACCUUUAAAAGUCUCAUAGUUAUAACUUAUUAUCCAGUCGUAGUAUUUGAUAUCUUUCUUUCUCUAGUUCCAAACUAAAAGAAAAAUCUCGAUUUCUUACCUAUAUUGUUUUUUGUCAUUAAAAAAUACAUCAUAAUCAUCGUUUGAGUUGGUGUUGAAAUGGAUUACUCGUUCAAUAUCUUCAACAAAAAUUUCACCAGAAAGGAAACUGGAAAUUCUCUUACUAAUGACGAUUUAGCUUAUCUGCAAGAAAAUCAUAUUAAUUGUUUCAAUGAUAAUUUAGGUCAAUCUUCUGUGGAUGGUUGGUCUAAUUCAUCGAUUAUGACAAGUAAUUCUGAUUCUAAUCACCGAAGCCUGAUGUCGGUGAUGCCAAACCAAAAUUACAACCAUUUUGGUCGAAGUUUUGUUUGUACUCAAAAUCUCCCGACUUUCAACUCUCUCAUAACAGAAAUACCACCAAGAUACCCAUUUAUAGAUAUCGAUCUCCCGGCUUCGAUGGAAGGCAACUUUAACACAGGGGCUUGGGAUCAGAGUGAAGAUACGUAAGUCCUUAUAUUUUAUUAUUUUUGUAGAUCUUUACUUUUCAAUUUUAUAAUAAAACUAAAAAAAUUGACUCCAUUUUCUAAAAUUUUACAAAUAUAUUAUUUUUUCUAUGAUUUUGUUGUUGUUGUUGAGAAUGUCAUAUUAUACUUAUGUCCUAAACAUGUAAAAAUAUAGAAAUUUGAGAAAAUUAGUGGAGCUUUAUGGGACCAAAAACUGGAAAAGGAUCGCAAAUAUGCUUGGAACACGAAUAGGGAAACAAUGUAGAGAGAGGUGGCACAACCAUCUUCGUCAUGGCAUCAAGAAAAGCGCAUGGACUAAAGAAGAAGAUCGAAUAUUGGUUGAAGCCCACAAGGUUUUUGGCAACAAAUGGGCCAAUAUUGCCUUAAAACUCUGUGGAAGAACUGAAAAUGCUAUUAAGAAUCGCUGGAAUGGUACAAAACGUCGAAUUCACCAGAAGAGAAUGAAGAAAAGUGAUAAAAAUGAAAACCCACCCCAAAAUGUCAUCCUCGCAAGAUAUAUAAGACAAGUCACAAAUGAGAAUGAAUCUCCUAACACCAAAGAAACAGAUUGCACCAAGGAUGAUGAUCAUGAAAAUGCUUUUGAUGGAGAGAUGGAUUUGAGUCUGGAUGUUACAACACAGACCACAGAACCAUUGGCUAGUACGUCCACAACAUCAUGCUAUGUUCCCGGGCCAGUUACAACAUUUUCAUGGGAUAAUUACUUUACAUAUAUUUGUAAAUCCAUGGAUGACAUUUAGAUGCUCAUGCAAGGAUUGGACUAAUUAACAAUGAAGAUAAUUUCUAUGUUCAUAAUAUUUCUUGUACAAUCUAAACUGAUAUCUUCUAUGUUUAUGUCUUCUCUUUUUCCAUUAUAUCUAUUUAUUUUUUGUUAUGUUAUGUUUUUUUGAGAGAUUAACAAGUUUUCCAUCAUAUAUUUUCAAUAAUUAAGCAUUUACUUCUAUAUAUUAAUUGAGAAACAUUUUUAAAUUGUAAAUUUUGAUUCAAUGCUUAGGUGUCAUCACCACAGUUUUUCCCACAGUCCUUAUUAAAAAGACAUAACUUACUAGAAUUAUUACAAGAAUACCAUUGUGGACCAUUCAUUUAUAAAGUUUUUGUAACGACCUAAAUCUCGGCCCGGGAAAAUUUAGCCCAAUAAAACUCAAUUACAUUGCAGAAAACCCUAAAGUUUUCUUAUUUAAGAUGGAUUUCGUGGUGGCCUCUGACAGAGACUUUUGGGGAUGGCAAAGCCCUGCCAGAACGUCACCGGAACAGCCACAAAUAGCCACCAUGAAAGAGAAGCCAUCCCACCAUCCGAAAAGAGAGAUUAGAGCCCAGCAGAUACGCUUUGGGGGAACAGAAGAACGAUCAAUCAAAUAUGAGUAUUUCGAAGCUAAAUUUUGAAGUUAUGUUCUACACUCAUAGAUCUAUGUGUAUCAGAAAGAAGAUCGUCAUUUGGAAUUUUUAUCUAAGAGUUAUGGUUGUUUCUUUGGGACUGAUAUCUACAGAUCGGAUCCGCGAACAAUCAACUUCAUCAGCGUUUUACCGUUGAUACAGAAGAAACCAGGAAACGGGCGAGAUAUCAUUGGAAAUAUCUCGAUGCCAGAUUUUCAGAUCAUCUAUCCGAUCAUCAAAUCGACGUACGGUUAGAAAGUUAUUGACGUUUCUUCUUGGCGAAGAAUAAAGCUGUUGAAUUGCAGAGACAGUUCCGACCAGUCUCGGUGUAAGUGAGAAAUGGUCGACAGAAACAAAAUAUUUCAGUCUGUAAAUUUUUCAGUGUUGGUGCAGUUUACGUUUACGACCAUCCUGGAGAUGAAGUUACUUUGGUUAAGCAAAUGGUGUCCGAUCGGAGUAAACUUGGUGUCUAUGGAUAGAGGACACAUAGGACUACAUUUUUACCGGAGGGAUCGAAAAGUUAACGAGAGUUCCAGAGUUGCUUUGUUAGAGCCGUAAAGGUCCAUUCGGCGUUUCCUCAGGUUUCUUCAGAACCCGUGGCAAAGGUGAGACUGACGAGUAUAUGAUAUUUGGACGGAUUGUAUCUACUGGACUUUUUAUUCGGAUUUGUAUUUGGGCUUUGGGUGAGUAAUUGUUGGGUAUAUGGACUUUUAUUAUACGAGAUAUUGUUGGUGGCCCGAUGUUCUCCGGAUUGGAGGUGACGGGUGUCACAGUUUUAGGGAAACAUAAUAAUUGUUUCCAUCGAUAGGAUUAAUUUUGGAUUGAAACUGGUUUAUUAAUAACAGAACCACUGUAUGUUCUAUUAAUUAUAACAAGCACACAUUGUUUUAUAUAGUUCGAUAUUUGAAGUGUUGUUAACGCAUACAUAUAUGUUUGUAUUUAUCAAAUCACUAUCAAAUAUAUAAAAUCAUUUGUUAUAUUUGAUCCGAGAUUAUAGUACUUAAUCAAACUACUAGGUCAGUAGUAGAUAUGUAAUCAAUGUAUAAUAAUAAUUACACAUAGGCUCCAAAUGGUGACCGAUGGAAUGGGUGGGAAUAGCUAAUUCCUUAACAUUCCUUAUAAUUUUCACCAUUUACAAGGAAUAUUUGUUACUUAUGAUUCCUUAACAUUCCUUAAAAUUUAAGGAAUAAAAGACUACAAUUAUUCCUUGACAAAAUAGAAGAGAAAUAGAUUUUCCUUUUAUUUUAUUCCAUUUUAUUCUUUUUUUCCUAAUCAUUUUAUUUCUUUUAUGGUUACCAGUUAGAGCCAUAGUAUUCUUGGGAUAAAUAAUUUUGUAUUUAUCAAAAACUUGAAAAGUCGUAUCAUCUGAAACAUAAUGUGUUAAAAAUUAAUCCAUUCAUUAUAACUUUUGAAUUUUUUUCAUAAAAGUGCAAUAUUAUUUAAAUUUAAACAAUUUAUUACAAAAAUACAUUAGAAAAAAAAACAAAGUAGACAUCAUCCAACCAUCAUUAUUACUAUAUUUUUUCCAUAAAUGAUCAAUUAAUGCAUUCUGAAAUGAGAAUUGAACUUCUUUAUAAUCUUUGAUUUUUCUGAAUCGACUUAUAAACUCUUGGAACCGAUUAUCUUCAUCAUCUGGUAUUUGGACUUUCGGGAGGUAAAGCUUUUCUUCCAAUUACAAUCGAUGCAUCGAGAUCACGCUCAUCCUCAAUGAUCAUAUUAUGUAAAUACAUGUAGCCAUUACAUUACAAGAAGGAGAUGAAAGAAGAAAACAAGAUUUUAUUUUGUGACUUGAAUUUAAUAGAAAAUUGUUAUAAAUCAUUUAGUGAUCGACCCAUUUAUCAGCCCGUGUAGCAAGACGGGCCAAGCCCAUCCGCAGGUUCAUACUGGCGCCUAUCUACUCUCGUGUUUAUCCACAUUAUAGUUGGUGUUUAUCUUACGUAUUGCUAGCCAUUAUCUAGUUAAGGAUAAGUACGAUCUCAUGUCGAUCUAGUACUUAGACUGUCAUUACCAUAUGUAUAUAAAGACCAGUUGGUCGACCUAAUAAUAAACACAAGUUCCCCUCUUCAUUCACAACACGUUAUCAGCACGAUAGACUCCAAAACCCUGAGACAAAACCUAACCUAAAAUCCGUCACACAUAAACCCUAAUCCAGGCGUAACUUAAAAUCAAUCUAUCUCUCAAACCCCCGAGGAACCAGACGACGAGCCACAUAUCAAAUUUAAGCUCUGGACAAGAUGAAUCUAUCAGCAAAAACCGUUCGUCAAUCCGAUCUCGGACACGCCCACACUCGCAGAAACAAUAGACGGCGCCGCCUUGGUCUUUUGGAACCCUAAUCCCGAAGAACCCUAAUUUGUUUUUGAUUCCGUUCCAGCAAGCAUUACCGCCUCAGCUUCAUCCCGAUCUCAGCUCAGACGAACCCUUGAACUCAAUCCCGUCUCGCGUUCCCGUCACUACCUCAGCUCGAUCCGACGAUCAGCCUCAACCCGUUCGCGAGAGACAACCAAGGCGAUUGCGACCUAACAAACCUAACCCGAUCGCAUCCUCUCAGCUCGCGAUCCCGAAGCAGCCAGCUCGCGUACGUUCGAGGUUCAUCUUGGUGGUCCGGUUUUUACAAUCUGCAAAACAAAGGUAAUCUUAAUUCUGAGAACAUGAAUUGAACAUGGUUGUUUUGUAAAGAUUGAAACCCUAAAAUCAGAACUCUAAAGAUGAAAGCCAUAGGGAAAAUAGAUCAAACCCUAAAGAGUAAAUCGGAGGUCGAAUAAGUCUGAUCACCUAAACCAUAAUUCGAGAUUGAUCCAUUGAUCAAUUAAAAUCAAAGUCUUAAUGAUUUUGAAUCUCAGAUCAAAUCCCCUUGAUCAAAGAUCAAAGUUUUUCGAAAUCUCCUAAAAACCCUAAUUUUGGAAAAUCGGUUUUAAAUUGUUUGAUUUAAACUUUGAUUGUUUGAUCACCUAGAGCUAUUGAUAAGAUUGUUUAAAUUCAAAUCUAAAUCACUCAAACCGAAACCCUAAAAGUUUAAAUCGGUUUUAAAAUGUCUUUGUUUGAUGAUUGAUGAUCUGAGAUGUUAGGAUUGAUAAAUUGAUUAAUAGAUCUAAUCUCAAGAUUCGAAAUCCUUAAGGCCUUAAAACCCUUAAUCUUGAUUGAUAUUCCUAAAGGCCUUGAAACCUUAAAUCUCUCAUUACUUAAAACCUGAAAAAUUGAUUUAAAGAAUUUACAUAUUGAAUGAGAGUUAGGUUGCUAGAUUAUUUGAUUGAUAUGGAUCGUGUGGCAUUGUGUUUUUGUUAUCAAUCAUACUGAAUGGCCGUGAGGCAUAACGCAUUGGUUCAUACAUGCGGCCUUGUGCCCUUGAUUGAGAUUAAAGCCGUAAGGCCUAAGCAUCACAAAACAUGAGCCGUGUAGCCUAAAGUAUUAUAGAUAGACUUAUGAAAUCAUAUGCACUAAUUAUUUGAAUUGGUUGCAAGAAUUCUAAAUCAUGAAUUUAUUAAUGAUUUCAGAUGUCGAGAUUUGAGCCUUCGGAUUAUGCUGCCCUAGAUAUCUCUGGAGAUAAUUAUCCAGAAUGGGAAAUGAACACUUCAAUUGCCCUGAAGUCUAGAAGACUCGGGAAAUGUAUCAUUGAAAGAAAUGAUGAAGUUGAAAGUGAAAAGCAUAGAGCCAUAACAAUUAUGCGGUAUCAUCUCACUGAGGAACUGAGAAAUAAGUACGAAAGUAUUGAGGAUCCUUAUGAUCUUUGGAUAAAACUAAAAUCCAUAUACUCAAUGGAAUUAUGGCGAAAGGCCAUGAAUGAUUGGAAGAUACUCAGGUUCCAAGAUUUUAAAUCCGUGGAAGAAUAUGAUUCUGCUCUAAUGAAAAUCGCCCAUAGUCUUGAACUAUGUGAUGAAGUGGUUACAGAUAAUGAUCUACUGUAUAAAACAUAUUCCACAUUCAAUCCAAAGGAUCGGUUGCUAUCAUAUACAGCUAAAGGUUUCACAACCUAUAAUGACCUAUUGUCAUACCUAUUGGCAACUGAGCAAAGAAAGCAGAAAAUUAAAGAUACCAUUGACAGAUUUGAGAAACUUCAGAAAAGAUGCAUUGAGGAACAAAACAGUGAGAUGAGAUAUCCUGAGGCAUUGGAUCAGGAUGAAUCCAAGAAAGCCGUGUGGAGUAAUAUAGAUUGUGAGGCCGGCUUAUACAUUGACUAAAAGAAAGAUCUCGACAUGAUAAUUUUAUUUUAAGUCUAUGAUUUUGUGAUUUGCUUUUGACCUACUUGAUGAUUCAUGAUUUUGUUUUUAUAUAUUAUCUUGUUUGGUCUUGCUUGAUGAUUCUUGAUUAAAUAACAAAUAAAACCUUAAUAAAAGGAUAAUCAGUCCACUGAUAGUUGAUUUCAUGCAUGGUUUAACUUUACCUUGAUUGUAUAGGUUUAACUUUACCUUCAUGCAAUCACAUAAAAUCAAUUGUUGGGUGUAGACUAAUGAGUCAGUUCACUGAUAGAUUGAUUUCUCGCAUAGAUUUAACUUCAUCUUGAUUGUAUAGGUUCAACUUUACCUUCCUACAAUCACUUGAAAUCAAUUAAUUGGUACUGACAAUGGCAAAAAAGACACGACAUUAUUCAGACUCACUGAGUUAUAAAGAAAAAAAAUAUUUCAAUGUUUUCUACAUUGAACCAGUGAGCAAAGAAAAUACGAUUCCUUUCAGAUUUUUGAAAAAUCGCCUAAAAGCAUUAUGAAUGCCUAUACCCAUAUUUUCUACUGAUUUAUUCUAUGCUAAGGAUCAGUAUGAAAGAGGCAUAAAGCCAUGGUAACCAGUAUGGUUCACCACGAAAUAAACACUUAUGGCAUGACCAAAUUAGCCAUCUUGAUCCAAAACAUGAUGAAAAAUUAAUUAAGGCACAAAAGUGAUCCCAUAAAAUCUCACAAUGUGUUAUAAGUACACAAAAGGGAAAAUCACUAAAAUAAUUAAGGCUCCACUGUCCUAAGCACUACGAAAUUAUGAGUAUGUUCAUGAGGGGGAGAGAGGACUAAAACCCACAGUCCAUGAUCAUAUCAUAAAUUCGGAUUCCAUGGUUUACAACCAUAAUAUACACGGCUGGAAAGCUUUAAAGCUCUCACUAAUGGUACAUCACUCACGUCCAACCUAAAGCUUAAGGACAUUAUGUAUAUAAAUAUUGAUUUACAUCAGGCCAUACAUGUAGUAAGCAUAGACAUUCUCACCUAUGGAUGAUUAAGGGUCAUAAACCAGACAUAUACACAAACCAUCUUAAGAAAAUACGAAUAUUCCACCACAUAUAUGUGUGCCAUUUAAGAUGGAACAUCAGAUGAGGAUUGGGAAUAUAUAUUAGAUAAAUAAGACUUCCUCCAUGAAACUAUAAUGUAUCUUGUGCCAAACAUGGAUGAUUUAAUCAAGUGCCCAAGAACACAUAUUACAAAAGAUAGUAAACUGAUUAUCCAACUUUGAAAGGAGAAAGUUAUCAGGCUAAUAAAGAGUAAAGAGUAAAA